GCAUGCUGCAUCACAAGGGCCACCCAUGCUAGAGCACUUUUUCAAUAGGCUCCCCAACGACAAGGCGACGACGAAUUCAUAUGUCAUCCAUAUCAACUUUCAAUGCCACUUACUGCGCCUACCAUGGUGACCAUGGGUAACGGGGAAUCAGGGUUCGAUUCCGGAGAGGGAGCCUGACAAACGGCUACCACAUGCAAGGAAGGCAACAGGCGCGCAAAUGACCCACUCCCGACAUGGGAAGGUAGUAAUGACAAAUAACAAUACAGGACUCUUUAGAGGCCCUGUAAUUGUAAUGAGUCCACUUAAAAUCCUUUAACUCUGAUCAAUUGGAGGGAAAGUCUGGUGCAGAGCGACUGACCCGUGCUGCAGCUGAAACUCCACUAUUGCCUGC